rnacentral:misc_RNA from 1 species
AUGAAGAACGUAGCGAAAUGCGAUACUUGGUGUGAAUUGCAGAAUCCCGUGAACCAUCGAGUCUUUGAACGCAAGUUGCGCCCGAAGCCACUAGGCCGAGGGCACGCCUGCCUGGGCGUCACACGCCGUUGCCCCCCCAUCUACUCCUUCGGGAUUGCGGGGGGGCGGAUGAUGGCCUCCCGUGCGCCUAGCCGCGCGGUUGGCAUAAAUACCAAGUCCUCGGCGACGCACGCCACGACAAUCGGUGGUUGCGAAACCUCGGUUGCCCGUCGUGUGCGUUCGUCGCGCAUCGAGGGCUCGAAAAAAUGCUCGGCUCCGGCUGGGCUUUCAACGCGACCCCAGGUCAGGCGGGGUUACCCGCUGAAUUUAAGCAUAUCAAUAAGCGGAGGA